CACGUAGGAGGCAAGCGUUAUUCGGAUUUACUGGGCGUAAAGCGCGUGCAGGCGGUUUGGUAAGUUGGAUGUGAAAGCUCCUGGCUUAACUGGGAGAGGUCGUCCAAUACUACCAGACUAGAGGACGGUAGAGGAAGGUGGAAUUCCCGGUGUAGUGGUGAAAUGCGUAGAUAUCGGGAGGAACACCAGUGGCGAAGGCGGCCUUCUGGGCCGUUCCUGACGCUCAGACGCGAAAGCUAGGGUAGCAAACGGG
rnacentral:rRNA from 1 species